CCUCUGCCUUGUCUCUGGACCCGUUUGUGUUGUGUCAUAGCCGCAUUCCCCCCUCGGACCGUGGCAUGCUACAAUGUAUGUCUGUUAAUGACACCACAGAUAUAUUAAUCUCAACCAUCUACUUAUCAACGUGGUUGUCUAUAUCAACAUGUCUGUAAAAAAUUGCAAUGGACAGUAGCUGGCCAACCAUUUAGGACAGAGCAAGGAGAAACUUGUAAUUCAAGAUUGUACCAGAAUUUGUAUAACUACAAGCUUCACAAAGAGGUUUGGUAGAAGGUCAUGGAGGUUUGAAUUCUGGACCACCUUGCCAGAAAUCAUCUGCCUGAAGAGUUUUCAACUGCCCAUCCUGUUAGAGAGCUGACCCUGCAUUACUCUGGGUGUUUUCUGGGUUUACAGAAGUCCUCAUAUCAGAACUAUUGCUGAAGGCUACCACUGCAGGUUCUGCUGUGGAGACAGAUCUGAGCCUGUUGAUCAGCCAUUGAAUACACUGUUCCUAUUUUAGAUGGACCCAAGGUACAUCACUAUCCUGAAUGAGUCAUCUGAAGAGACGGAAAAAGCAACUGGAAGAAACAGCUGAACUAUGGUCUAGUUCAAAACGCGCUGACCUCCCACAAGGUUGUGAGAGCCUGCUCGUGGAGAGAAGGCUCCAGGGGCAGCUGAACAGGCAGGACAUUUCACAGCCAGGACAGUUUUCUUCGUUCCAGUAGUGAAAGAGAAAAGAUGAUAAAGAGGGAUUCCUCUGGCAGUAGCCUCCUUUGGUUGCCUCUGACACCUUACCAACCUGUGUUCCACUGAUCCAGGAAGACCUUAGGCUGUUGGAGGGGAAUAUCUAGAAAGUUAUGUCAUGAACGUCCCUUUUCCCUCAAGAACAAGGAAUUUGCUACAUCUGUAAAGCUAGCUGUGGCUGAGCAAAAAUGUUAGUGUGGGACUGAGAGGUAGAAUUUUGGGUUGUGAAGAACUGAAAAGUCUUUAAUGGUAGAGGGAGCUUUAUGCUUCAGUUGGCGUCACCCUUGUAAAAUCUCACUCUCCAAAGUAAUAAACAUGACUGGGUAGCCAGAAAGGUUUUUCAUUCAAUAGACUAAUUAAGGCACAAACGCUCUGUCAUGUAAGCUUAGUUUCACAACAUAAAUACAACUACACUGAACUCUUCAAAGGACAUAUUUUUAAAAAAAUAAUAUUUCCCAGCAAUGAACAUUAUCUGCUUAAGUAACAGGCAAGAAAAAUUGAAGAUACUCAUACAUAGAGGAAAAAAACCCAAAGUAUUGGAAAUAUAACUGAAACCCAGUGGAAUGAAUCAUAAUACUAAGACAGUGGAAUUCAAGCUUACCAGUGACGCAGUACAUCACUGUGUCUAGAUCAUCCUUCCAGCAGAUAAUGUAGAAUUUAGGAACUAUAGCACACAAAACCAAAGAUGGGAUACUGGGGAUCAUCCACUCCACUCCUUUCAAAUAGCAAGUAUAAUUUUUAAAACAGCAAACAAUAAUUUGUUUAGUGAGCAUGUGCAGCAGCCAACAGACGUAAUGCAAUACUGAGUUUCAGUGACAGAAGUGUUAAAACCUAACAUAAAAACUUAGUGGAUGAAUUGAAAACCAGUUAUUAUGUCGCAUUUAUUUCCUUCAAGCAGCAUUUGGUAAAGAAAACACUAAAGAAAACACUUUACAAUAAGAACAGUUUCCCAAAAAUUGAAGCAUCUAUCGCCAUAACUGUAUUUUGGGAGCACAGAAGUAUCAGAGAAGUAUUAAGGAAACUAGAAACAAACUACACAUUCAUUACUAGAGACCUCAAAAAAGGCAAUAUUUCAGGUGUGACUAAGAUAAUGAUACUUAAAUAAUAAUUAUUCUGAUUAUUAUUAUUCAAAUUGCUUUGAAAAGACUGAUGAAAGCCACAAAUACAUAAAUGAGAAAGGAAAGAUAAUGACAGUACAAUCUACUAUUUUUAAAGGAUA